rnacentral:lncRNA from 1 species
CAAAUCAUUGUUUACUUCUGAAUGUCAGCCAACAGAAACCAAGUUACACUUUGGAAACUGUACGGUUCUAAAUAUUGCUUAGACGAGAAUACAAGAUCUGCAUGAGUAAGCAAGGGCUAGCUAUAGGGAAUCAGCAUCAAGUGACGUCCAGGGCACGCACCAAGGCCAGCAAGUAAGCCAGAUCCCCUCAUCUUCAUGGCUUGUGGACGCAGCCCAGGCUCAGACUGAUGUGUGCCUGAGUAGAUGCAGCAGAGCAAAGCUAGGCGCAGAGCACUGUGCUCUUCUUAGUUGCAGAAGUAAGAUUAAUUGUCCAGUGACAUGUCUCUGUCAUGUCACUGAAUGCAGAAAGACCAAAGAUUCUGGCAUCAUUAUAUUAAAGCAGCACCUCAAGAAUCUUUUCUUUCUUGCUCUGCCAGUUAUGCUAUAAGAGAAGAAUCUAUUAUAUUGGAAAGGAUGCACUGCAGUUGUCCCAACUCCCUCCACAGCCCAAGUAUGAUAUUGCAGCCUGGCAAGAGAUUAAAUGAUUUAUGAGAAGAAAAUGCUUCAGUGAAAGCAGAUCUAUAAACGCAACCCCACUGCUGAAAACGCUAGUGAUACUGAUCAGUGAAUUGCAACAGAAAUUGUGAGCCCACUGAAAAGAUAAAGUGCAUUUUUCUCAUGGGAGAACAGUUUUUUCAAAACAACGGUGACUGUGCCAGCAGUGGCGAAAGGGGUGUAAAAUUGCCUUGUUUAGAUCUUAGCUUGGCCCACGUGUUACCCAUCUCAUAUCACAUAUUGCUGUAAUAAUGGGGAAGAGAGAUUCUGUGGGAGAAAGAAAGAAACCUUUAUGUGGCCAUUUAUUUAUUUAUUUUCUGGAAGUAGCAUCUGUUUGAACAAAUCAUGGUUUUGGAAGGCUAUAAUUAGCACUGAUUGGAAGAUAGUGAUGUGCCAAAUUAAGCAGGGUAGGUAGCAGUGCCAACGAAUACAACUGUACAGUACUUUUGAAGUUAAGAUCCAAACUUUGUUUGCCAUAGUUUUGCCAAACUUCAGAUGCUGUGCUGAAAAUUUUCUUGCUGAAUGCCUGAUUCACACAGGAUUUUCCCUUUCCCUGGUUCAUCCCCCUUUGCUUUAAAGUUUCAGCUGUUUCUGAGAGUGAGACAAAAGGAAAAGAUGUGCUGCUAAGUUAAGAAGAAUUUUGGCAGCCUUAUCUUCUGACCAGAUCUUGCAUCCCUAAGUUUUGAGUAGGGCUUGAGAGUCGUCAGUAAGCAGUAUUUGUGGCCAGAACGGCCUUACACAGUGCAAUGCUACCCCAGACUGCACUUAUUUCUGAAAGGUCUCAGUCUAUACGUGCUCAGCAGAAACCUGGAGUCAGAGCCAAAAGGUGUCAACAGAACAGUCUCUACAAAUCCUGUCUGAUCAGGGUCACCUACAUUUACUUGUAAGUUUCUCUAGUGCCUGAAUUUCAGCUACCACAUAUUUUCAGUCUGAAAGAACUGGGAUCCACCUUCUGUUCAAGACCACACAAGACACACAGACUAAGCAUCAUCAGGUCCUAUUCCUAUGGGAGACAAGGAGUUGUGUGGCCCAGUCUCUGUCACGAAACCUAUUUGGGGAAUUUCACAAUGACAGCUUAGGGCACAAGCAUCCCCAGAACCUGGUCCUUCUUGCCAUGCUACGGAAUGGGCAGCCAAUCAGGUAAGCGUUUAAACUCUGAACAUUAGCUGUAAUGUUAUUACUUCGUGUGCCAGCAGACCGGCUGUGCGGAGAGGAAGCAGCAGCUCUGGGGACAGGCAUCAGGCAGAGGGGCACGGGGUGGAAGAGCCCAAGAGCCCAAGCAGGCCAAGGAGGUGCAACGGGAGGCAGAAGAAUAGCAAAAAGUGUUUCCAGAAGCUGUGUCAGCUGAACUACUCCACAGUGUCUAAAGGGUAUGUGAUAGUGCAGGCACACAGAGGAAGGAAACUUUAAUUCUGCUUGUCAAACUGAUAAUUAUUUGACUUCCAGGGUUCCUGAUAGUGAAACAUUAUUGUUCUCUUGACGCAACUUCUUUAUGUGCAAAAUAUCCAGAGAGUGAAAUCUCAGUGUCACUGAUCUCAGUGUAAAUUUUGUCACCGAGUCUAUUUGGAUGAAGAUUUUACCCAUAACAUGUAAUAAAUGGAGAAACACAAUCA